CCGACCGUCGUCGCGUGAACACGUCGUAGUUGUGUCUGGACUUGUGAAACGCGCGUAAAAUCACCGUCGUCGCCGUCACCGUCGCCACCUCCCCCUCCCCGAACGUCCACGUCCGGUGUCCCAACGAGGGUGAGAUCCACGCGUACUCGUCCUCUUCUAUCAUCCCGCCACUUCUCUCUAUCUUAAUUCUUUCCCGGCCCGUAUCACUCUAUCCAUAUCUCUUCACGUUCCGUACAUUCCUCAUCCCUCCCCCUCUCCCAAUUGUCGCGCGUCGUCGCAACUUUUACUCGCCCGCAGUAUAACAACAUUGGGGAGCGCGAGAGUCCGCCUACGCACGAGGGUAGCAAGUAGAAAGUGUUGCGCUGCGACAAAAACGAAAGAAUCGGAGAUCGAUCGUCGGAGCAUCAAAUUGAGCUGAAUAGGAAGCUGCACGUCCCUUUGCAUGAUGUCUGUCUGGAUGAAGUUUACCAAUAUUGAACAACAUGAUCAUCUUCGAUGGAUUUAGAUAUAAACUUUAGAACAUCGCGGUCAGCACGUUGCCAGACCUGAGAAGUAACGUCAGGACAACGACGACAACGGAGGAAGCAACUCAGUGGAGAAAGGCGUGAGAGGGGGCUUCUCGAUCGACUUUAUAUCGAUGGAGCCGUCCUGAUGCAGACCGCGAAACUACGCGGGGAUCACCCGGCCUGGUCGUCGGACUAAUUCUACCGGCGGGCCCUGGCUAUUUCACAGAGCAGCGAGCUGUCUCAUCCUCAUCGACGGCAACAGACCCAGCCACUUCCACUUCCUCCACCCCACGUGGCCGCACCAUCACCUGAUAAGGUAAGCCUUUAUCGAAACUGCAUUCUCAUAGAUUUCUGGGGCAAAUAUUUAUAUUGUGUGUAAUACACACUAAUUAAAAAUUGAAAGUUUUACUCCGUGAUAAUAAUUAAUCUAAUUUACACAUUUUCUUAUGUCGAAAUAUCAUCGAUUACAUUUUUUGAUGUUAUUCUAAAUAAAAAACAAUAUAUUGUAUAACUCAAAUUUUUAUUUUCUUAUUAAGAAUAUAAUUGCAAACAUUAUGCUCAUUAAUGUAAAUAGUUGUUUGUAAAUUAAAUAGUGGAUAAAUUUAUAAUAGUGGAUGAGAUUCACUCAAAGAAACGAGAACUUCUUUUAAAAAUUUUAUAAUUCCAGUAUAUAUCAUGUGUCAAUCUAUAUAUUUAUAUAUUUAGAAUGUUGGAAGUGCUGGAACGUUUGUAUAUAAGAUCGAUUCCGACAGCAGAAGAAAUGCAAAUAUUGUAGAAAUACAAUAAACUAUCGAUAAAAGUAUAUGUUAUAGACUGUGUUUUAUUUAAUUUUGUUCACGAAUUUCUCAAUACUGUACGCUAUGUGGAACUGCAGAAGCGUAGACAUUAUCUCGUUAAGUUCAAAGCGAUUGAUUCAUAAACAAGAUAUUAUCGAUGUACGUUGCAAUUAUGCAGGAGUCAUUUAUGUUCAUGAUCCGAUAUGUUGAUUAAUCUCUUCAUCGGGUUAUCGCUCUAUUAUCUGAUAAGGUUCGCCAAUUGACUAUGAGCACGCCGGGGCAUGCCAGGGUUUAACCGACC